UGUGGUGACGAUAGUGAGAAGGAUAUACCUGUUCCCAUGUCGAACACAGAAGUCAAGCUUCUUAACGCCGAGAGUAGUUGGGGGAUCG
rnacentral:rRNA from 1 species